AGAAUGGAAGAAGAGAUAAAGAUGAUGGAUGCAGAACAUGAUAAAGCCAAUAUGUCAAGGAGACUGGAAGAGAAGAGUAUGAGUGCUCUGGAAGAAGAAGAGGAGAAGAGGAGGGUAGAGGAGGAAGUUGAGACAGAGAUGGUGAAAGGACAUCCCUCCCCUGCAGAAAAGUUAGAGUCUGAUGAUAAAGUCUUGAGAGUUCCUGAAGAAUGUGAAAAAGAAGGAAAGAAAGGCAGGAAUAAAGACAAGGAGAUCCUGACGGAGGACAAAGAACCUAUGAUGAAGCCCGAAAAGACAGCACAUGCAAGUUCAGAGAAUAUUCUACUGAAGUCACCUUUACAAGGAGAUCACCUCUCUCCCAUCGUGGAAAAGGUGACGUCAAAACCUUUGGCACCAUUACAAGACAUGUGCAAGCAUCAGCUAGAUGAUGGUUCUAAUGCAGCAAUGGA
ensembl:lncRNA